rnacentral:rRNA from 1 species
GAUGAACGCUGACAGAAUGCUUAACACAUGCAAGUCAACUUGAACUUCGGUUUGGGUGGCGGACGGGUGAGUAACGCGUAAAGAACUUGCCUCACAGCUAGGGACAACAUUUGGAAACGAAUGCUAAUACCUGAUAUUAUGAUUAUAUGGCAUCGUAUAAUUAUGAAAGCUAUAUGUGCUGUGAGAGAGCUUUGCGUCCCAUUAGCUAGUUGGAGAGGUAACAGCUCACCAAGGCGAUGAUGGGUAGCCGGCCUGAGAGGGUGAUCGGCCACAAGGGGACUGAGACACGGCCCUUACUCCUACGGGAGGCAGCAGUGGGGAAUAUUGGACAAUGGACCGAGAGUCUGAUCCAGCAAUUCUGUGUGCAAGAUGAAGUUUUUCGGAAUGUAAAGUGCUUUCAGUUGGGAAGAAAAAAAUGACGGUACCAACAGAAGAAGUGACGGCUAAAUACGUG